rnacentral:tRNA from 1 species
GCUAAUGUAGCUUAAUUUAAAGCAUGGCACUGAAGACGCUAAUAUGAAAAAUAGGAUUUUUCCAUGGGCA